rnacentral:piRNA from 1 species
UAUGUAGCACUGAGUUUAUAUAAAAUAAAUACGUUGUUGUACCUUUGAAAAGGUUGACGUUCAGUCAACUGAAAUAUUGGUAAAUAAAUUAUUUUUGAUCCCAUAUAUGUCUUUUUAAUUAAACCACUUUUAUUUUAAACCUUUUUGUAGAUAUGUUUACUUUUUCGUUAAUUUCUUUGUAUUUAUUUCGUUAUGUUUGGAGUAUCGAGCCACUCCAUGCUUUUUAAAUAUCAAAUCAUUCAGAAUUUGGUAUAAAAGUAAAUUGUAGAAAAUAAAACCUUUAAAAGAACGAUAGAGGUUUCCGAAACGUUGGAAUAAAAUGUUUAAAAAAGGCUGUGACGUAAAUAUAAUUUACAACUCCAUUUUAAAACCAACCUACAAAAUUACGUUUUCUAAUGAUAAAAAAUAUAUUUUGAUCACCAUGUGUGUGUGUGCUAUAAUUUAGUCAUAUAUCUCAGUACUGUAAAUAUUGACAUUUGAAACAUCUCAAAAACAAUUGUGAAAUCUUUCCUCUUUCUUUUGGCUUAAUUUUUUCGCCGCGNNNNNNNNNNNNNNNNNNNNNNNNNNNNNNNNNNNNNNNNNNNNNNNNNNNNNNNNNNNNNNNNNNNNNNNNNNNNNNNNNNNNNNNNNNNNNNNNNNNNAAUUAGCCUUAAUUAAAGUCUCUCUGCUCCAACGCGACAAACUCAGAAAGAAAUUGACACAUUAUAUAAAAUACGAAUUGAUACUUCACUAAAUCAAAAAGAAAACUAAUAAAGAAAAAAAUCGAUCUCAAAUAAAAACAAAAUUUUGCCUCUAACUACUGCAUGGUUCCCCUAUUUGAAACCUCAUCCAAGAAAGCAACAGACCAAAAGAACAAACUCAUUUUAACGAAACACAUAACUACAUGGAUUUCUUAUAAAGUAAUCUGUUUAAUUUUGAUGAAAUUCCGGAUAUUUAUACGAUACAAUACUCGUGAUUUACAUAGAAUUUUAGUAUUGUCUAUGUUAAUUGACAUCUCUGUCUAUAUAGCGUAGCUUUCUUAGUUCGUUAGUUGGCUAGUGGUUAUUGGAUAGGACAGGCCGCUGUUAGGUGAGAGAUGCUGAUGUACAUAUAAUCUGAUCUCUUGUCUUUCUUUAUAGUCUUAUACCUUUAGGUAAUAAAGGAUGUUUCUCUUCUUCUACGAAUCUAUGAUUUUUCCCCAACAAAUUUACUAAUAUUAAAACUCAUCCAGGGCUAAAAUAUAUAUAUCUAUAUUAAUAAAAUGCAAAUUUCAUAAGUGUUGUUCACUAAAAACUUUCGUUACAAUGCAUCAAUUUCGACCAAAUUUUCAACAUUUAUGUAAAACGAGAUGGAGCAGGUUUUGCUUAACAUCAAAAUAUUUUUCCCUAACAUCAACAUGCGUAACUUCGCUGUUAUCGAUUAAAUACAAAAAAAAUCAACAGAGUUAAUUUUUUUACAUACUAGCUAAUAAUCUCAAUCUAAAAAAUAUUCAAAACAAGCAAUUUUAAGAUAACACCAUAUGUAAAACAGUCGGCCAAGAAAACAAAUAACGUGUAAUAUAUAUAUAAUAAAUAUAAUAUAUAUAAUAUAACGGUAUAAUAACGGUAUAAAGAAAUAAUGAGCCUAUCGUUCAAAUUUAUAAUUGUAACGAAUAGUAUUUUAAUUAAAACAUUUUAAAAACACACAGUUUGGAACGGGACGUUUCACAAGAGUGACAUCCAUGGCGCCAAUUUAUAAUUGUAACGAAUAGUAUUUGAAUUAAAACGUUUUUAAAAUAUAUACGCACUCGGGUAAAACCCGGGCGUUGCCCGGGCCAUUCGUAUUAUCUUAAAUAUUAUUUAUCAAAAGUAAGAUUAUCUCAGGAUGACACGGCAAUGUGACACGGGAAAAAAAUGUUCACUAGAUAAAACUAUGAUUUUCUAAUGUAGAAAAUUAGGAAAGACAAAAUUCAGGAUGACACGGCACACAGGGACCGGGAAAAAAUGUUCACUUUAUCGAGAGAUUCAAAUUUACGAGUUUCAAAUUAUCAAAAUAUAUCUUUUUUUUUUUUUUAAUAAGUUUUUAGAGAAUCGUUUUAACAAAUGUUCGCUAGACAAACCUUUACUCGGGUAAAACCCCGGGCGAAGCCGAGUACGUUUUAUAAGUUUAUAGAGAAUUGUUUUAACAAAUGUUCGUUAGACAAACAUUCACUCGGGUAAAACCCGGGCGAAGCCGGGCACAUCCGCUAGUUAUAUUAUAAAAUUAUUAAAUUAUAGAAAUUGUUCGUUUUUUUUUUUUUAGGAUUAUUUUAUUUUUUGUUUUGGGAUUUCUUACUAUUGACUCAAUGCUGAGAGCAUUUUCAGUGUCUGUUCUGAUUCCGUGUUUUCUUAAAUCUUUCUCUAUUUUCACACCGUUGGGAGAGUAUGGUAUGACACAUGUUAACCUGUAUACUUGGCUGUACCACAGCAACACACACCUCGAAGAUAAAUCCACAGUUCUUUACCUAAGGGAGUUAUGAUCUGUCAUCCAUUCAUCAAAUAAUUUCUUUAAUAUUUUUAUUUGUAAUUUAAAGGAAUCACGAAUAAAGAAUGGGAGCCUCAAUACAGGACCUAUAUUCCAACCCUGCCAGGAUUGUGAAUUUGAUUAAUGAAUAUAGUCUCCAUGACCUUGUAUCAUUAUACAAUGGGAUAAUAUAGUUAAAAGGAAUAAAGAAACUUUUUGCAAUUAUCCUGAUUGAUAUAUUUAAUCUUUUGCCAUUAUUUUACAAUCUAAGUUAUAGAAGGGUUGUAAAAAUAUCUCAAUAUGAAAUUUUGCAGCCCUUCCAUAACAAACAACAGCUAAAUAUACAGAUCAACAUGUGUCAUACCAUACUCUCCCAGCAGUGUUAAAUAUCAAGAUAAUUAAGAAAAAACACGAAAUAAGAACAUACUAUGAAAAUACUCUUGGCAUUGGGUCAAUAGUAAAAAACUCCCAAACCAUAAAUAACAAUUGUAGAACGAUGUUAGACAAAUUUUACCGCAAAUGUUUCUUUUAAACGAAAAAUCGAAAUUUAUUUUAAGGAGAAAUAACGAUUAUUUCUCCUUAAAAUAAAUUUCGAUUUUCCGUCCAAAAGAAACAUUUGCGGUAAAAUUUGUCUAACAUCGUUCUACAAUCAUAAGCCGCAUUAUAUUGUAUUAUAAAAAAAUAACAAUCCCAACCCACCAAUUUAUAAUAACCAAGCUAUUUAUUCCAUAGAAUGUACCCACUAUGACAGUGUAUAUAUUGAAGAAACUGGCAGAGAAGUAAAAUACAGAAUAGAGGAAAACACAAUAGAUGUAUCAAAUAUAAAGACAAAAAAAUCCCUCAUAGUUCAACACAUAGAAAACACAGGCCACACAUUCAACUUGAAAGAACAAAAACAAUUUUAAAAAACAUAAACAAUAAAAAAUAAAAAAAAAAAAACAUAUCCUGACCUCUCACAUGAGCUUUUUAGAUAGCAGAGCGCCAUCUAGUGGAACAGAAAUCAACUAAACUUUUCCAUAGGUCAUUGUGCAUUAGUUAUUGACCGGUCCUUGUGUAUCUAUAUAUAGAUAAUUAUUUUAGUAUUUAUUCUAAUGUAUUAUCCAACUUCCAACAUCCCUCCGAAAAAAAUAUAUUACAGAAAACUUUCAAAAUAUUCGUAAAAUAAAGAUGCAUAUAAUAAUAUUAUACAUAUAUUCUAUAAAAAAAUCUUUAUGAAAUAUUCCUACCACCCUCCAUCCGGAAAAAUAAAUGAAAUAUAUUUUUAUAGAAAUUCAUUUGUAUCAGAUAAGUUGCAUUGGAGUAUUCAAUUUUAUAUUAUUGGGUUAAUUUUAUUUGGUUUAGAACUAAUUUUGCUCAUUCCCGCCAUAAAAAUUAUUAAUCAUUCUAUAUCAAAAUGAGUAAUAGUGAGAGUAUUUUUCUCCACCCUAUCUCUUGGGUAUAUCUAUGAAUACCAAAAGAACUUCUUAAAUUGAAAAUAAGAAAUUUAGUUUAAAUUUGAACAUAUACUUUACAAGUAUAAAGUAACUGUAUCCAUAAAAUAUUUUAAGAUUGGCGAUUUUCUCCACAUAUAAUUUCGGCUUAUACACACUGUAUCUUUUAAUAUAAACUAAUUUCAAGUGCUUUAUUUUUAAUAAAGACAAAAAGUAUUUAAAGGUUUAAAAAUAGAGCUGCUAACUAAAAAAAAAAUUACCCUUAAUUAACAACAGUUUUAAAAAUUUCUGUCUAAAAAUUCUUGAUU